AACACUAGCUGCAAACAGGUUGCUUUAAACUAAGGGGUUUCAAGCAUGUGGGAACAGAGAUCAAGAUGGGGAGGGGGAUGCCUGACCUGGAUAGGCAUGAUUAAGCAGGUUUGCAGGGACCAGACAACUGCAAAGAGCAGGACAAGGGUGUCCUCCAUCACAGGAAGUUGCUGCCUCCUUGACUCUGGUGUGGUGGAUCUAAGGGAUGACGCCUGUAACUUUAUCAACAGUAGGGGUUGCAAGGAUGACCAAGUGAGGGCCUGUCCAAACUGGCUGAAGUGGUUCUGUUUGUUCAUCUUUCACCCAUAUCUCAUCUCCUGGCUGACAGCCUUUGCAAGGAGCAAGCUGAGGUACAGAGGCAGAACAAGCAGGAGUAAUGUGUGUUACACUUUCAGCUGGGCUCAGCUGAGUGGUUCUGCUGCUGGUCUCUCCCAAGAUGGCUCUUUGCAUUCAUGCCAAC
ensembl:lncRNA